CAGAGUUGAUCAUGGCUCAGGAUAAACGCUGGCGGCGCACAUAAGACAUGCAAGUCGAACGAACUUAACCAUUAGUUUACUAUUGGAGCGGUUAGUGGCGGACUGGUGAGUAACACGUAAGCAACCUGCCUAUCAGAGGGGAACAACAGUUAGAAAUGACCGCUAAUACCGCAUAUGCCUUAGAAUCACAUGGUUCAAAAGGGAAAGGAGCAAUCCACUGAUAGAUGGGCUUGCGU
rnacentral:rRNA from 1 species